rnacentral:rRNA from 1 species
AGACCCGAAACCCGGUGAUCUAGCCAUGGGCAGGUUGAAGGUUGGGUAACACUAACUGGAGGACCGAACCGACUAAUGUUGAAAAAUUAGCGGAUGACCUGUGGCUGGGGGUGAAAGGCCAAUCAAACCGGGAGAUAGCUGGUUCUCCCCGAAAGCUAUUUAGGUAGCGCCUCGUGAAUUCAUCUCCGGGGGUAGAGCACUGUUUCGGCUAGGGGGCCAUCCCGGCUUACCAACCCGAUGCAAACUGCGAAUACCGGAGAAUGUUAUCACGGGAGACACACGGCGGGUGCUAACGUCCGUCGUGAAGAGGGAAACAACCCAGACCGCCAGCUAAGGUCCCAAAGUCAUGGUUAAGUGGGAAACGAUGUGGGAAGGCCCAGACAGCCAGGAUGUUGGCUUAGAAGCAGCCAUCAUUUAAAGAAAGCGUAAUAGCUCACUGGUCGAGUCGGCCUGCGCGGAAGAUGUAACGGGGCUAAACCAUGCACCGAAGCUGCGGCAGCGACGCUGAUGCGUUGUUGGGUAGGGGAGCGUUCUGUAAGCCUGCGAAGGUGACCUGUGAGGGUUGCUGGAGGUAUCAGAAGUGCGAAUGCUGACAUAAGUAACGAUAAAGCGGGUGAAAAGCCCGCUCGCCGGAAGACCAAGGGUUCCUGUCCAACGUUAAUCGGGGCAGGGUGAGUCGACCCCUAAGGCGAGGCCGAAAGGCGUAGUCGAUGGGAAACGGGUUAAUAUUCCCGUACUUGGUGUU